GAUGAACGCUGGCGGCGUGCCUAAUACAUGCAAGUCGAGCGAACAGACGAGGAGCUUGCUCCUCUGACGUUAGCGGCGGACGGGUGAGUAACACGUGGAUAACCUACCUAUAAGACUGGGAUAACUUCGGGAAACCGGAGCUAAUACCGGAUAAUAUAUUGAACCGCAUGGUUCAAUAGUGAAAGACGGUUUUGCUGUCACUUAUAGAUGGAUCCGCGCCGCAUUAGCUAGUUGGUAAGGUAACGGCUUACCAAGGCAACGAUGCGUAGCCGACCUGAGAGGGUGAUCGGCCACAUGGGAACUGAGACACGGUCCAGACUACUACGGGAGGCAGCAGUAGGGAAUCUUCCGCAAUGGGCGAAAGCCUGACGGAGCAACGCCGCGUGAGUGAUGAAGGUCUUCGGAUCGUAAAACUCUGUUAUUAGGGAAGAACAAAUGUGUAAGUAACUAUGCACGUCUUGACGGUACCUAAUCAGAAAGCCACGGCUAACUACGUG
rnacentral:rRNA from 1 species